UGUAUUAUUCUUUAUCGAGGCUUCGCGUUUGUUCGCAGAUUUAUCAAAACUGGUAAUUCCAACGCGAUAUUGGAUAAGGUUUAUAAGAAUACUAAGUGAUUUUAUAUGCGAUACACGGCGCGUAUAUAAUGUCAAAUGUCAUAGACUUUCGCGUCCCGUUUGUUCCGAAAUUUUCGUUAUUCUUAUUGCGACUACUGAGCGAAAAAUUUAAGAUACUUAUCACUUUUCACAACGUUGAUGAUUGUUUUGCAAGAGUGAUGAUACGUCCUAGCUGACAGACUGCAGACAAUACAGGAUCCUGAGGGAACAUCGGUUGCCAACUCGAAUCACUAGAUGGAUACUUUGGAAGGAUGAAAUUAUUUUCAAUAAGUUUCAUCCUCACUAAUAAUUCCUUUCAAUCCUCUCCCUCAUAAUUAAAAGACACGGUCUGACUUGGUUUGUGCACUGUAACAUUUAUACUUCAGUCAAAUCAGUGUUAGUGCUGCAAUGUUUGACUUUAGAAUUGAAAUCUUUUUUUUCAUUCCUCCCCAAAGCCUCGUCUUGUAUUCAUUGUAUUUUUGGAUCAUAAGGUGACCGUCUAUUGUCCAUUUCUAACAUUAUUCUGUAUUCUGUUAAUUAUUAUUACAAUAAUUUCUUCAUUUUUCCAGACUGCGUGGCCUAGACAUUGCACGAAUACGGUUACCAUCCACCUGUGGAGCGGCGUUUUUAUCAAUGCUACAUUCUUCCUUGAAAAUAUAAAAAAAUAAAAGACACGAUUUUUUGUCUUUGAUUAUUCGAAGUUUGAAAAGUAGAAUCAAUUGUGUUUGGCUGACCAUCCAUGCGCGCGAAGUCUGGAAUCAAUUCAUAUUUUCAAUAAAGCAGUUUUGAGGUACUUUACUGAGCCGGAGGGGAUGACGUUGAGUUAUUUUCCAAAAUUGCAGCAGUGCCAUUGACUGUCUUGUCUUCGCCCGUUAGCAGCGUCACCUUUUCCUCGUAUUUACCUCGUAAAUCUUGAAAGAGGCGCA